rnacentral:tRNA from 4 species
GGUGGAUAUAGUUCAAUCGGUAGAGCGACUGUUCGUGGCACAGUAAGUUCCCUGUUCGAGUCAGGGUAUCCACC